AUUCCAGCUCGUCCGUCAUCACCCGCUUCGAAUGUUAUCAUUGGAUUGAAUGGGCGUUAUCAGUGGUUAUCAGCCUCAUAGAUAUGGGUCAGUAGGGGCCUGCUGCGCCUAUUGGUAAGCUCAGAAGGCUGUUAUCAUCCAUUCGCAUGGUUAAUCACGGAUAAAUACACGAGAAGACUCCAGAUCCAAUCCCAGAGCAAUCCAGGUCGCCGCUAACCGGAAGUCUGCUGGAUAACGGCAUAUGUAUACAUAGGUUGAAGAUGGCCCAGAGAGAGAGAACACAAAUUAAUGAAGAACAAAGGGAAACUUUGAAAACAUUUUUUGAGGAUGGAAUGACACGGGUUGGUUCCCCCCUCAUAUCAAGAGCUGCAUCAGAUACUGGUUUGGAAACCAAUGUCAUAGAAGUAAGGUUUACUUUAAUUCCACACUUACAAUCAACAUAUCAAAUAAAUACAUAAUUCUUCUGUACUGCUGGUAAAAAUCUAAAGUUUUUGUUAACAUCCCUUCUCUUCUCUGCUUAUCUUCAUAGUUGUCAGAUUUCUCUACCAACCCUUAUAGAGUUGGCUCAGGUUUGCCUUGGACCAGCUCUUAGUUAUGCUUUUAUAGUUUUAGA